GCUGGGUGUGGUGGUGCAUGCCUGUAAUCCCAGUGUCUUAGGAGGCUGAGGCAGGAGGAUCACAAGUUCAAGGCCAGCCUGAGCAUUUUAGGGAGGCCCUAAGCAACUUAAUGAGACCCUCAU
rnacentral:sRNA from 1 species